rnacentral:lncRNA from 1 species
AUGACAGGAUAUCACAACCAUUUUUAGCAGAUGAGCUAAAACUUUCAGGAAGCUGAUAAUGAUUAUUGAUGCUGAGAAAUUUAUUUCAAUCAUUCUGGAUUUGUCAGGUAAUUUUGCCACACUUUUCUUCUUGUACUUCUUCUAGACGGGAAAAUCACCUUUUUUCCUCUUCCUCUCUGAGCAGUAAUUUCACAUUCAAUUUUCAAUUUAUUGCAUCAAACUCAUAAAACUAAUAUCGCUGGAAAAGAAUGCAGUAUAAUAAUAAAUAAUCCCUUGUAGGUGACGAAUGCAAGUCCUAUGACUACAUAUCUACACUUCCUGUGUAAUUCUCUUUAGAUGAAAUUUGGGUGGAAAAAAAAUCAAAAAAUAACAUUAGACAGCAAAAGUGUGAAAUUCUCUUGGUAGGAGAGCAAAACUUCUUAUGUGUAUCUUGUAUGGUUUCUUCCCUUGUUCAAGAUCACAAGACUUGCAAACAAAGUUUUUUUGUUUUCAAUAACCGUGGUGUCUGGGCCAGCUUGCCGCACCUCGACACAAAUAACUUUAAAUCUAUCAUAAGCAAUGUGACUUGAAUCGACCAAGAGAAGAUCUCCAUUUUCUUGAGUGGAGAUUUCUAAAUGAUUAACCUUCUUCAUGUUUGUGACCUUCAUUUGCCAGAAAGUCAGACAUUUUUUUUCGUUCCACCAGAUGUAUAUAAUAGUAGCUCUCGUGUGUUCCAGCAAAUUUUUACGGUCUUCAAUAAUAGUCCUGAAGAUUAAUGUUGUAUGUCCUCCUCUUUGAUAAGCUUGACAACAAGUAGAUAGUUUGUUUCCACCUCUAAUUCUUUAUAACAUAUUUCUUUUGCUGCUUUUGAACCUUGUUUGAUGCUCUAUGGCUUUAUAGCGAGGCUUGAAGUUGGCUUCAUUUUACCUGUAUAACUCAAUAUCCACUUUCCUUGUUCGUCUCUAUAAAUCCUUACAAAUGCAGCAUCUCUAGUUUGAGUCUUGAAAUUGGCAUUACUGGCGAUCUGUAAAUAGGGCAAUGUUUGUAUUAGGAAGUUGGCUAAUAUUGGAAUGUGGUGGCAUGGUGCUAUGCACUCCUUAAUUAAAGCCAUGUCAUGCCCUUUGCCUAGACAUCAUCUCUCAUCAGGUUUAGCUAAAUAAUAUUGGGAAAACAAAAUAAUAAAAGAAAACUUGAGCAGAGGAUUUUUUUUUUUUGAUAACUGUGGUGUCCGGGCCAGCUUGCACGCACCUCGACUAAUUCCACGGGAUACACGCUGCCUCCUCCAGCAACAACAGAUGUUAGGUAACUAUGUCCACCAAGGAUAGAAUAGGUGGGAAGAAAUCACCCAGUGUUUGUCUCUACUGAAAAUUUAACCUGAUACCUCAUGGUGCUCGACCCACAACAUUGACCACUAGGCCACUCCCUUGGAUGCGUGGAGGAAUUGAGAUGCUUUACCCGUAUCUUAUAAUUUUGAGUUGGAUGUUCAAAUUCUUUUGGUCAAAUACAUAGACGGCCCCUUAAAGUUGCUUCAGUUUCCUUUUCUUUUCUUUUUUUUCCUGAUAACAACUUCAGUUUUUAUUUCGACACCUUCACUAAAGUCGAUACUUUAACACUCUAACAUCAUUCAAAGUGUGUCCGUUAAACUCUUUGCAAAGAAAAAAAUUGUGAAAAAGAAAAAAGAAAUGAGAAAGAGAAGAAAGGAAAAGUAUGGAAAAAAGGUUAUAUAAGUGAUUCACGCGCUCAACAAUAACUGAAAGUCACUUUUUGCGCCACGUCAAUCCGAGGUGUUUAAUAGACACACUUGGAAUGGUGUUGGAGUGUUCAACAGGUAUUUUCCCUCUUUUAGGUGUAAAUGUGAAAAUUGGAGCCAACUUUAAAGGGCCGUCUGGAUAUUUGGCCAAUUCCUUUAAAAGAUAGCAAAAUAUGCAAACAUGCAAGAUGCUUGAGUACACAUGAAAAUUAACAUCUUAUUAAGUUCCACUUGAAUAGUUAAAUGUACAUAACAAAAUAUCACAUUUCACAAGCAUGCUGGCAUGUAACUUAUUAGCUCAUAUACACAAAGCAAACAGAGAAGAAGAAAAAGCAGCCAGGAUAGACCAUUCCCUGGAACGUGUGGGGAAGAAGAGAAGUGGCACCAGACGGAACAACAUUCACAGAGGAAGAAUCCGAGGAGGGAUCGUCCUUCUUUGGCUUUGAUGGCUCUGGAGCAGGUGCUGGUGGUAAUGGUUUGACAAAGAAUUUCAAAGGAAGCAGUACCUUAUCCACUUGGUAAAUAGCUAAUUGACUGUCAGUGUAAAUUGUACUGGUCAGACUUGCAUUAACAAUCCCAGUUGUUAUGUUCACUGCUGUCCCGUUUGUGGCUAUAUUGAUGGGGAAUUCACGAUUAGUGGUUCCUCCAGCUUGUGUUUGUACAGGGUUGCUAGCCGUUUGGAACUGUGAUAGGGAGAAAUAUGAGGGGAGGAUAUGGAAUUUAACUAAUUCAGCUUUCCGCUGAUCACUGAAAGAGUUGAGGGUGCCAGUUUUCAGGUUCAAGAAAGCACCAUCCGAUGGAACAAACAUGGUUAUGCUGUUGGAGUUGUUUAGUAAUGAGGUGAUUUCACCCACUUCAUGAGUGAUUUGUAACAACUUGAUGAACGUCGAACAUGAUCCAGCUUUCGCAAGGAUUUUUAUCACGUUUGGCAG